rnacentral:rRNA from 1 species
UACAGAGGUCCCAAGCGUUGUUCGGAUUCACUGGGCGUAAAGGGUGCGUAGGCGGUCGGGCAAGUCUGAUGUGAAAUCUCACAGCUUAACUGUGAAACUGCAUUGGAUACUAUUCGGCUUGAGAGUUGGAGGGGGGACUGGAAUUCUUGGUGUAGCAGUGAAAUGCGUAGAUAUCAAGAGGAACACCAGUGGCGAAGGCGAGUCCCUGGACAACUUCUGACGCUGAGGCACGAAAGCUAGGGGAGCAAACAGG